GAUGAACGCUGGCGGCGUGCCUAAUACAUGCAAGUCGAGCGAACAGACGAGGAGCUUGCUCCUCUGACGUUAGCGGCGGACGGGUGAGUAACACGUGGAUAACCUACCUAUAAGACUGGGAUAACUUCGGGAAACCGGAGCUAAUACCGGAUAAUAUAUUGAACCGCAUGGUUCAAUAGUGAAAGACGGUUUUGCUGUCACUUAUAGAUGGAUCCGCGCCGCAUUAGCUAGUUGGUAAGGUAACAGCUUACCAAGGCAACGAUGCGUAGCCGACCUGAGAGGGGGAUCGGCCACACGGGAACGGAGCCACGGUCCAGACUCCUACGGGAGGCAGCAGUAGGGAAUCUUCCGCAUUGGGCGAAAGCCUGACGGAGCAACGCGGCGUGAGGGAUGAAGGUCUUCGGAUCGUAAAACUCUGUUAUUAGGGAAGAACAAAUGUGUAAGUAACUAUGCACGUCUUGACGGUACCUAAUCAGAAAGCCACGGCUAACUACGUG
rnacentral:rRNA from 1 species